UGAAUUUCAAAACCAAUAUUCUAGAAUCCUGACAUUCCGGAAAACUGAAAUUUCAAAACCAAUAUUCUAAGCCCUGAAAUUUCCUAGAAAUUUUGAAAUGUCAGUGUUCCGGAAUGUUAGGGUUCAAGAAUGUUGGUUUUUAA